rnacentral:rRNA from 1 species
AUUGAACGCUGGCGGCAUGCCUUACACAUGCAAGUCGAACGGCAGCGCGGGGCAACCUGGCGGCGAGUGGCGAACGGGUGAGUAAUAUAUCGGAACAUACCCUAGAGUGGGGGAUAACGUAGCGAAAGUUACGCUAAUACCGCAUACGCACUAAGGUGGAAAGUGGGGGAUCUUCGGACCUCAUGCUCAUGGAGUGGCCGAUAUCUGAUUAGCUAGUUGGUGAGGUAAAGGCUCACCAAGGCAACGAUCAGUAGCUGGUUUGAGAGAACGACCAGCCACACUGGAACUGAGACACGGUCCAGACUCCUACGGGAGGCAGCAGUGGGGAAUUUUGGACAAUGGGGGCAACCCUGAUCCAGCAAUGCCGCGUGAGUG